GUUCAAUUUAGUUUAUUGUCACGUGUACCGAGGUACAGUGAAAAGCUUUUUGUUGCAUGCUAACCAGUUGGCAGAAACAUAAUGCAUGAUUACAGUCGAUCUAUUUACAGUAUAGAUACAUGAUGA